rnacentral:rRNA from 1 species
CCUACGGGAGGCAGCAGUGAGGAAUAUUGGUCAAUGGGCGAGAGCCUGAACCAGCCAAGUCGCGUGAAGGAUGACGGCCCUACGGGUUGUAAACUUCUUUUGUCAGGGAGCAAUUGGGUCCACGCGUGGGCUUAGCGAGAGUACCUGAAGAACACGCAUCGGCAAACUUCGUGCCAGCAGCCGCGGUCAUACGGAGGAUGCGAGCGUUAUCCGGAUUUAUGGGGGUUAAGGGGUGCGUAGGCGGAAUAUCAAGGCAGCGGUAAAAAUUCGGGGCUAAACCCCGUCGUGCCGUUGAAACUGAUGUUCUUGAGUGGGCGAGAGGUAAGCGGAAUGCGUGGUGUAGCGGUGAAAUGCAUAGAUAUCACGCAGAACUCCGAUUGCGAAGGCAGCAUACCGGCGCCCAACUGACGCUGAAGCACGAAAGCGUGGGUAUCGAACAGGAUUAGAUACCCCGGUAGUC